rnacentral:sRNA from 1 species
CCAUCUCUGCCCCAUGCCAUGUGCCCUAGCCUCCUGGGCUUCUCAGCCUGGUGCCUGGGCACCUCUGCCCUGCCUGCCUCUCCCUACACCCAGGAUCAUUCCAACCUCUUGGUGUACAGGGGUGGAGGUUGGGCAGGAGCUGUCUGACCUACUGGGUCUUCAACAUCUCUUGCCCUCUGUGGGGCCUUUGGGUUGGGCAGUGGGUGGCUUGUAAGAGCCCUGCUCUGACUUUACCCUCCUCACCCCUGCAGAUGCCCCGGUGCACCCCCCUGCGCUGGAGCAGCACCCGUAUGAGCACUGUGAGCCAAGCACCAUGCCUGGGGACCUGGGCUUGGGUCUGCGCAUGGUGCGGGGUGUGGUGCACGUCUACACCCGCAGGGAACCCGACGAGCAGUAAGAGGGGUGUGGUGUGUGUUGGGGGGAUGCAGCGUGGGAGGUUGCAUUGGCUUGGAAGAGGCCACAGGGCUCGGCUUGCUCUCCUCACCCAAGCUCCCCUCCAUGCCAGUUGCUCAGAGGUGGAGCUGCCAUACCCUGACCUGCAGGAAUUUGUGGCUGACGUCAAUGUGCUGAUGGCCCUGAUUAUCAAUGGCCCCAUAAAGUCAUUCUGCUACCGCCGGCUGCAGUACCUGAGCUCCAAGUUCCAGAUGCACGUGCUACUCAAUGAGAUGAAGGAGCUG